rnacentral:rRNA from 1 species
GAUGAACGCUGGCGGCGUGCUUAACACAUGCAAGUCGAACGAGAAGUGGAGACGGAAACCUUCGGGCGGAAGCCUUUAUUUGGGGUGGCGGACGGGUGAGUCACGCGUGGGUAACCUGCCUCAUACAGGGGGAUAACAGUAGGACACGACUGUUAAUACCGCAUCAGACCACAGCUCCGCAUGGUGCGGGGGUAAAAACUCCGGUGGUAUGGGAUGGACCCGCGUGGGAUUAGCCUGCGGGCGGGGGAACGGCCCACCAAAGCGACGAUCGAUAGCCGCGCUGAGAGGAUGACCCGCCACACCGGGACUAAGACACAGCCCAAACUCCUACGGGAGGGAGCAGAGGGGAAUAUUGCACAAUGGGGGAAGCGCUGAUGCAGCGACGCCGGGUAAGCGAAGAAGGAUGUCGGUAUGUACAGCACUAUCAGCAGGGGAGAAAAUGACGGUACCUGAGGAAGAAGCCCCGGCUAACUACGUG